AAGAAAAAAAAUCAGUGAUACUCAUUUUAUCAUGUAUGCGUUUUGUUUGGUAUUCAUCUCAUAUCUUCUUUUUCUGCAAUAAGUUAUACUGGUUAUUUGAUAUGUCAAACAAUUGAUUUAUUACUUUCUACAUGUUUCUACAUGAUUGUGAACCAAUAGUUUGCUAGUAAAAUGAUUGAGCGUUUUCAGCUUCUUUUCUAUGAAAUUGUUUUAUAUUUAUCUCGUGAUCUAAUAUUCUAUGAUUUAAACUAUUAUGUUUUUCAAUUACUGGAUAGAUAAUGAGACUCAGCUGGAAGAA
rnacentral:misc_RNA from 1 species